UCUUGCGCAAUGGGCGAAAGCCUGACGCAGCAACGCCGCGUGCGGGAUGAAGGCCUUCGGGUUGUAAACCGCUUUCAGUGGGGACGAAAUCAGACGGUACCCACAGAAGAAGCCCCGGCCAACUACGUGCCAGCAGCCGCGGUAACACGUAGGGGGCGAGCGUUGUCCGGAAUCAUUGGGCGUAAAGAGCUCGUAGGCGGCUCAGUAAGUCGGGUGUGAAACCCCCAGGCUCAACCUGGGGACGCCACCCGAUACUGCUGUGGCUAGAGUCCAGUAGGGGAGUGUGGAAUUCCCGGUGUAGCGGUGAAAUGCGCAGAUAUCGGGGGGAACACCAGCGGCGAAGGCGGCACUCUGGGCUGGAACUGACGCUGAGGAGCGAAAGCGUGGGUAGCAAACAGG
rnacentral:rRNA from 1 species